UAGGGAGCUAGUAAGUAUGUGGUUCCAUUGGUCCGGAAUUUUUUUCACUGGAUUUGCUUUCAUUGCUGGUAUUGUAUUUAUAUGCGUUUUAGUUAACGUUGUGGUCACGAAAAUCUGAGAUUAGUUCAGCUCACCUGCAUUACUGCAUGCACCGUGGAAGACUACCGACACAGCCGCUUACUAUUAUAUUACGUGUACCAGGCCGUUUAUUAUAAACCUUGUUAGUUAAUCUGUUAUGUUAGAUCUAUUCUUACUAGAAUUUCUAUCGAAUAAAAAACGGUAAAGGGUAAAAGUUUAAAUCCCUGUUAACGCAAAAAUCCCAAAUGAUGCUCCUGGUUGCAAGUGCUAUGUUCCUCCUCUGCUGUGGAUUCACUGCAGGAAAAGAUUCCAGCGAGGAAUUAUCUGAUAAAUGCGCAAUGUGCAUGCCCGGUACACGAUGCGUCUAUAAAUCUGGGCGACCGGCUUGUCGCGCAGUGACGCACCCCGGAAGUUGCCCUCCUCCGCGUGGAGCAGAGCAAGGCUGCUUUGCAACCUGCAAGGAUGAUGCUGAUUGUGGCGUGAAUUAUAAAUGCUGCAGUAAACGGUGUGGAGGUAGAGCCUGCAAAAAGGCUGUUCUUUAUUAAACCAAAAACACACUGCUGCAACGUGGCUCCUGCGUCAGUAUUAUCCAUAACCGGAAACUGGGCCAUUACGUGUCUGCUAUUUUAGCUCACCCUGCCUGUUCUUUCUGUACCAUCUUAUGUAUAUGUUAGUUCUUUAUUCUGUCGGUACUAAUCUAUUAAAAACACCGAUUAAAAGCGAAAUCCAAG